AUGCACGCUGACAGAAUGCUUAACACAUGCAAGUCAACUUGAAUUUGGGUUUUUAACUUAGGUUUGGGUGGCGGACGGGUGAGUAACGCGUAAAGAACUUGCCUCACAGCUAGGGACAACAUUUGGAAACGAAUGCUAAUACCUAAUAUUAUGAUAAUAGGGCAUCCUAUAAUUAUGAAAGCUAUAAGCGCUGUGAGAGAGCUUUGCGUCCCAUUAGCUAGUUGGAGAGGUAACGGCUCACCAAGGCGAUGAUGGGUAGCCGGCCUGAGAGGGUGAUCGGCCACAAGGGGACUGAGACACGGCCCUUACACCUACGGGAGGCAGCAGUGGGGAAUAUUGGACAAUGGACCAAGAGUCUGAUCCAGCAAUUCUGUGUGCACGAUGAAGUUUUUCGGAAUGUAAAGUGCUUUCAGUUGGGAAGAAAGAAAUGACGGUACCAACAGAAGAAGAGACGGCUAAAUACGUG
rnacentral:rRNA from 1 species